UACGUAGGGUGCGAGCGUUAAUCGGAAUUACUGGGCGUAAAGCGUGCGCAGGCGGCUUUGCAAGACAGAUGUGAAAUCCCCGGGCUCAACCUGGGAACUGCAUUUGUGACUGCAAGGCUAGAGUACGGCAGAGGGGGAUGGAAUUCCGAGUGUAGAGGUGAAAUUCGUAGAUAUUCGGAGGAACACCAAUGGCGAAGGCAAUCCCCUGGGCCUGUACUGACGCUCAUGCACGAAAGCGUGGGGAGCAAACAGG
rnacentral:rRNA from 1 species